CGCUGAGGGACCUGGAACCUUGCAUCUGACCUCUCUGUGCUGAAGCUUCAGCACCUGUCAUGUGGGGAGGGUAACUGCUAUCAAAUUUUCGGGGUGAGGACCGUGUUCCUAUAUGGACACAAAACCAGUCACUUACCUUGGUACAAGUGCUAACAACGCUGUCGUAGAACUGAUAUUUAAACCUCAACUUUCAAGAAAAAAAUUAACAAAGGGGUUGAUUUCCUUCAUCUGAAAUAACUAGGAACUACUACAUUUUAUAUUGUUUAAAAAAUGUCAUCUUCUUGAAAGAUCUGUUUGAUAGAAGGAUUUCUGGGGUUUUCGGGCCUCAAUCUGAAAACUCUUCGGAGCCGAGGACAGCCAGGGGUUGUUCAGUGUUGAGCCAUCAGUAGCCUGCUCCUGGGCUCUGAGGACACCCUACACCCUACACUUGAAGGACACAACUUUCCUUGUGGGUGAGACGUACUUCAGGAUGGCUCCACCUCCCCUGGUGACACUCUGCAGUGUUCGUCGUAGACUACACGCUCUCACUCGGGAACGUGAGUUCUGUGCUCCCCGCCAUGUCUAGAGUUACAAGGUUCUUCCGCUACUGAGAGACUUGCAUCUUAGAAGCAUCAUCUUUCGUUAAGGGAUGCGUAUAAUGUCCACCAUUCUGACCCAUGACUUGGAAAGGGAUGUGCCUGCACCGAAUCACCGCUUCCUAAAUGCACAGCUACCCUCGGACGCGGUCUACUCCACUCCUAGGCCUCCUCAAUCUGCAGUAGUUCAGGCAAAGCUCACAUCCAAACCACAUGUGAGGGCAACAGGCCCAUCAUCGGGCCUUUCCAUACUCCACGGCCCUGUGGUUACCUCCACUGGGAAGUAGAUCUCACGGUGCCAAGUCUAAGGAGAGGGCAGUGACUGCAGCAGGCCGCAGG